rnacentral:rRNA from 1 species
AUUGAACGCUGGCGGCAGGCCUAACACAUCCAAGUCGAACGACUGGCGGACGGGUGUGUCAUGUCUGGGCAACUGCCUGAUGGAGGGGUAUAACUACUGGAAACGGUAGCUAAUACCGCAUACCAUCAGAUGUGCCCAGAUGGGAUUAGCUUGUCGGUGGGGUAACGGCUCACCAAGGCGACGAUCCCUAGCUGGUCUGCGAGGAUGACCGGCCACACUGGAACUGAGACACGGCCCAGACUCCUACGGGAGGCAGCAGUGGGGAAUAUUGCACAAUGGGCGCAAGCCUGAUGCAGCCACGCCGCGUGUAUGAAGAAGGCCUUCGGGGUGUAAAGUACUUUCAGCGGGGAGGCGUUACCCGCAGAAGAAGCACCGGCUAACUCCGUGCCAGCAGCCGCGGUAAUUC